UACGUAGGGCGCAAGCGUUGUCCGGAAUUAUUGGGCGUAAAGAGCUCGUAGGUGGCUUGUCGCGUCGGUUGUGAAAGCCCACAGCUUAACUGUGGGUCUGCAUUCGAUACGGGCAGGCUAGAGGUAGGUAGGGGAGAACGGAAUUCCUGGUGUAGCGGUGAAAUGCGCAGAUAUCAGGAGGAACACCGGUGGCGAAGGCGGGUCUCUGGGCCGAUACUGACGCUGAGGAGCGAAAGCGUGGGGAGCGAACAGG
rnacentral:rRNA from 1 species